rnacentral:misc_RNA from 1 species
GAUGAAGAACGUAGCGAAAUGCGAUAAGUAAUGUGAAUUGCAGAAUUCAGUGAAUCAUCGAAUCUUUGAACGCACAUUGCGCCCGCCAGUAUUCUGGCGGGCAUGCCUGUCUGAGCGUCAUUUCAACCCUCAUGCCCCUAGGGCGUGGUGUUGGGGAUCGGCCAAAGCCCGCGAGGGACGGCCGGCCCCUAAAUCUAGUGGCGGACCCGUCGUGGCCUCCUCUGCGAAGUAGUGAUAUUCCGCAUCGGAGAGCGAUGAGCCCCUGCCGUUAAACCCCCAACUUUCCAAGGUUGACCUCGAAUCAGGUAGGAAUACCCGCUGAACUUAAGCAUAUCAAUAAGCGGAGGA